rnacentral:snRNA from 1 species
AUCGACGUCAAUAAACUUUUUCUGAACAGUAUCUGUUCUUAUCAGCUUAAUAUCUGAUACGGGCCCUAUAUGGGUCCUCGAUAUUAACUUUAUUUUUGCAGCCAGGUGGGGUACUCCGAAGCUUGCUUCGGAACCUG